GCGCGAGAGUGGCGGAAUUGGCAGACGCGCUGGAUUUAGGUUCCAGUGUCUCAGGACGUGGGGGUUCAAGUCCCCCCUCGCGCACCA
rnacentral:tRNA from 1 species